UCAUUUGAUAAAAAGAAAUUCAUUUUCGAACACUCUCUCUCUACUUUUUCUCUCUCGACACAAAAAAAAAAGAAAUCGUCUCCUCCCCCGGCGCGGUGGCCUCGGCGCCGUCGCCGGUGGCUCUCUCUUAACCCUUCCUCUUUCCUUCUUUGCUUUCUCCUCGCAUCUACGUCCUGCAGUUGAUAUGUCGAAGCCCUAGGGAGCUCUGCCGGACACUGGCUCUCUGGAUCUGGAGCUCGGUGACAGAUCUAGUCAAUGGCGGCCUUCCCCGGUGUCAAGAUGAGGCAGCAAGGCGUUUGGCAAGGGGAGAGUCGGAUUUUCGGUGAUGAGUGAGCGUUUUUCCAGAUCUGUUUUGCUUCAUCGAUUGCUUCCGCGAAUUGGUGGCGCGUGGGCUUUGGAAGAGUCUCACCCGAUACGGAUCUGUCCUUUCGUCGGAGUGGAGAGGCGGUUGUCUCCGUAAGUUUGCCGCCUUGGUGUCUCGGCUUUGGACCGGGUCUCAACCCCUUUCAAGAAGUGCCUCGGAGGUCCCCGACUUCUAGACGUGCAGCGGUGGUCUCUUCUCUGGCGGUGUCAGAUGCAAGUUUCCUCGACGGCGCGUGAAGACAUUCGGCUCUCUUGACGCGUGGAGUUGUCUAUGCUCAGGCGUCGGAGAUCCGGUGGUGUUCCUCGGUCUUUGUCUCCUCCAGCCUUCGGUUUAAGCAGCAGAGAGCCCUUCUCGGAACUGUGCACCUUCUGUUUUGGGUAUUUCGAGCCGAUUCUUCAUUGUAUCUGCAACUCCGUCCUGUCACUGGUUGUUGCUUCAGCCUAGCCUUUUGAUUCAUCCUCUAGUUUUUAGAGGUGAUGCGUGUGAAAUGGUUGGACCUUCAGGUGGUCUCUGAAGGUUCAUUUCCCUCUCCGUGACGGCGCGUUUGGUCUCCGGCUAUCCCAGUGCCUUGUGGGUCUUCGAUCUUCUCAGCAAGCUGGAGUCCAUCAAUGGCUUGCAGGUGCUCGUCUCAGCGUGUUUUUAGACAGCCACAUCUCAGCCCGUUUUACGGUUUCUUUUGGCCGAAGCGUCUCUGUUUCGGUUCUAGGAAAUCUUCAGGUUAUCUCUCCACUCCCCCUAUCUAUAGAUCAAGAUCAAGUCUCGGGUUAGUGUGUCGAAUACGACCUCUCCGUAUCACCGUACUGGUCAGGUUCUGGCAAGAGAGACGGACUUGUUGAGGAUGGUGGUUCCCCUUAACUAGUUGGUCUGUUUCGAUUCCCAUUUCUUGAUAGUCGGUAAGAGAAAGAGAGUGUCGUGUGGAUCGAGCAGCUUUAUGUCGGCGCUGGUUUGAGAGAAAGUAUCUUUGCAUUGGUCGUCUAAAUUUCGAUUUGGUCGGCGUCGUUGG
rnacentral:lncRNA from 1 species